GGUUAAAUCAGGCUGAAAACACCUGCUUCCGUUCAAUCACCGAAGCUAAGCAGCGUUGAACCCGAUCAGUAUUUAGAUGGGGGACAACUUGGGAACACUGGGUACUGUAAG